rnacentral:rRNA from 1 species
AAAUUGAAGAGUUUGAUCAUGGCUCAGAUUGAACGCUGGCGGCAGGCCUAACACAUGCAAGUCGAGCGGUAGCACAGAGAGCUUGCUCUCGGGUGACAAGCGGCGGACGGGUGAGUAAUGUCU